CAUGCAGUCGAGCGGCAGCGACACAUUGACCCUUCGGGGGAUUUGUUGGGCGGCGAGCGGUGGACGGGUGAGUAAUGCCUGGGAACAUGCCUUAGUGUGGGGGAUAACCAUUGGAAACGAUGGCUAAUACCGCAUAAUCUCUACGGAGCAAAGAGGGGGACCUUCGGGCCUCUCGCGCUAAGAUUGGCCCAGGUGGGAUUAGCUAGUAGGUGGGGUAAGGGCUCACCUAGGCGACGAUCCCUAGCUGGUCUGAGAGGAUGAUCAGCCACACUGGAACUGAGACACGGUCCAGACUCCUACGGGAGGCAGCAGUGGGGAAUAUUGCACAAUGGGGGAAACCCUGAUGCAGCCAUGCCGCGUGUGUGAAGAAGGCCUUCGGGUUGUAAAGCACUUUCAGCAGUGAGGAAGGUGGUAUCGUUAAUAGCGGUAUUGUUUGACGUUAGCUGCAGAAGAAGCACCGGCUAACUCCGUGCCAGCAGCCGCGGUAAUACGGAGGGUGCGAGCGUUAAUCGGAAUUACUGGGCGUAAAGCGCAUGCAGGCGGCUUGUUAAGCCAGAUGUGAAAGCCCGGGGCUCAACCUCGGAAUCGCAUUUGGAACUGGCAGGCUAGAGUCUGUAGAGGGGGUAGAAUUUCAGGUGUAGCGGUGAAAUGCGUAGAGAUCUGAGAAUACCGGUGGGCGAGGCGCCCUGGACAAAGACUGACGCUCAGAAUGCUAGCGUGGGGGAGCAACAGAUAAGAUACCCUGUUAGUCCACGCCGUAAACGAAUGUCUACCUUGGGAGGGUUGGGUGUCUGGAACCACUGGC
rnacentral:rRNA from 1 species